rnacentral:rRNA from 1 species
AUUGAACGCUGGCGGCAGGCCUAACACAUGCAAGUCGAGCGAGCGGCGGACGGGUGAGUAAUGUCUGGGAAACUGCCUGCUGGAGGGGGAUCACUACUGGAAACGGUAGCUAAUAACGCAUACAAUCAGAUGGGCCAAGAUGGGAUGAGCUAGUAGGUGGGGUAAUGGCUCACCUAGGCGACGACCACUAGCUGGUCUGAGAGGAUGACCAGCCACACUGGAACUGAGCCACGGUCCAGACUCCUACGGGAGGCAGCAGUGGGGAAUAUUGCACAAUGGGCGCAAGCCUGAUGCAGCCAUGCCGCGUGUGUGAAGAAGGCCUUCGGGUUGGAAAGCACUUUCAGCGGGGAGGCGUUACCCGCAGAAGAAGCACCGGCUAACUCCGUGCCAGCAGCCGCGGUAAUUC